rnacentral:lncRNA from 1 species
UAGGGGGGACCCUAAAAGCUUAACGCCUCUUCUCUCAAAGGAGCCACCGCUGACCCCACCCUUGAUCCAAACAGAAACCAGACCUGACCAUCUCCUUCCCUGGUUGUCCCCCUCAGGCCUCAACCGACAGGCCACUCCCCCCUUUUUUGAUUUUUUUUCUCUUCUCCCUCAACCCGCCCCCCCCCCCCCCCCACCCCCCCCCCACUCCCCCCUUUUUUGAUUUUUUUUCUCUUCUCCCUCAACCGGCCGCCGCCGGCCCCCAGAGAUCCCCCUUUUGAUUUUUAUUUUUUCUCUUCUCCCUCAUUCAGCCGCCAGCCCCACACCCCCCCUUUUUCUUUUUUUCUUCUUUUUCUCCUCCCUCAUUCAGCCGCCAGCCCCACACCCCCCCUUUUUCAUUUUUUUUCUCUUCUCCUUCAACCAGCCACAGCCGAUCUUCCCCACCCUCACAAAUCAACCUCCUCAUCUCCAUCCCAGCUGUUCCCUUCCAGCACCAGACCUUCCUUCUCUGGCAACACAGACAGGGACCGGCGUCUGCACCUCCCCACAGCAGCCGGCCACUACAUUUCUCUCGGCCGGUUUUCGCCGCCAGCAGCAGCAGCGCCGUCCUCACCAGUGAGCCAGCAGCUCACACACGGCAGCGCCGGGGCAACCCUCUUCUUCAUCUUCUGCAACCAGCCUCCUGCCCGCCUCCUCCCUCCGGCAGCGCCCGCAGACCCAACAGUCUCCAGCGGCGGCCCGAACACAGCGGCACCUGCAGAUCAGCAGCCAUCCUUCCUCCUCCUGCCAGCUACCCGAAGCGGAGGGGAAGACGAAAAAAACCCAUAGUAGAGCCGAUCUGCUGGGAAGCAGAUCUGAAGAAGAAGAGAGAGAGGGAGAUCCGAAAACCCAUGAAAGAAGAUUAAAAGAGUUUGCCUGUUGCGUUUUUUGGUUUCUUGCAGGUCACCGCCGGCGAGAGGGGAAGAAGGGGAAGGACAUUCCCUGUAAUUUCAGAUUGUUGUGGGGCUAUUAUUGUAAUUUUAAUAUAAUUUUUGUUUAGUUGUUUUUAAUUUGUAUUUUGUAUCAUGGAUGUGAAAAAAAUAAUAUAUAAGGAAAGUGUAUGAUGGUUUGAAUGUUUAUAUGAAUGUUUGUUUUAAUGAUGAAAUUAAAAAUAAUAAAAAAGAAUUUAAUAUUUUGAUUUGUUUAUAGAUAAAGAAUAAUGAAUUUAAAUAUAAGUUGUAUUUUUAAUAUUUGAUGAAAAAAUAUAAUUUUAAAAUUUUUUGUAACAUAUCAAGUCUAUGAAACAGUUUAUUUUUGUGUUAG